rnacentral:guide_RNA from 1 species
AUAUAAACAAAUAAACAACAGAAAUAUAUCUAGAAAGAUGUAUGUAAAAU